AUGAUAGUUUCAUCGCUUUUCAUUAUAGGGCUUAUGGGACUUUUUUCUACAACAAAAGAGGCUCCAUCAUUCCUACAGUGGUGUUACCUACUGCAGAAAUUAUAGAGCC
rnacentral:ncRNA from 1 species